GGUCGCCGGGUCCUUGUGCUAGGAUGGCCGAGUGCAGGGCGUGUUGGGGAAAUCAUGGGAGAAGGAGAAAGUCGUUGGGGUCGUGCAAGCGUUGAUGGUGGCGUGGUGUUCCUGGAGAGUGACCAUGAUGCCUCAUCAGAUUGCGUCGCAUGUCUUCUGCGUCUAGUCGAGCAAAAAGGGAAUGGCUGGUGAGCAUGCAGUUCUUCGCCAAAGCAGACGCAUCAACACUGAACCGCUGCUCGUCGCGAGCAGCGCUGUUGGCGCCCAUGCUUUUGGUAAGACACCCAUCUCGAGUACAUGUUGGCUCUCGCACUCUUUUACGUUCACCUACGAUAGGAGAUAUGGACCCAACGACCGAGCAUGUGCUCCGGCAAUGGCGGCCACCGCGGUGGUCUCUCAUGCCACCGUAUUUGAUGUCUAUAGGAGGAAGAUGUGGCCUGGACCGUUGAUUGGUGUUUGGGUGACUAGGAUUAGUUGGGAUACCGCUUCGGCCGGGCGCGAUCUGGGACGUUAAUCUCCCAUCGGGCGGUCGACAGACAUCACACGACUCAUUAAAUGAGUGCCGCUGGAUCGAGAUCCGAUGCUUCUGGUUGCCUACUGAUUAACAUCUAAUCUUGGCACUUGAUGCGUGAUCCAACGACCCAGAUUUGGUCAUACCCCUUAGGCUGGAGAUCUUGCAAAAGAAACCCUGUAGAACUCGAAUACUAACCCGCCGUCCUGGGCGGUGUUCUCUGUGUCUGGGGAAUCUUUCAAGCUAGCCCCUAGCCUUUUAUUUAUUCAUGCGCCCAGUCCAGAAGCUUAAGAAAUUCAGAAAAAAACAAUUUAGGAAAUGGUUUUUGUGUAUAAAAAUACAUCCAGAACCUAUUUAAUUCAUAGAAAUUCCAUUUUUACUCCUUUUUAACCCAUUCCAGUUGCAAUAACCUUGUAUUAAUAUUGUCUAUCAACUGGUAGCACUUUUUAGCCAUGAAACUUGAAUUAAAAUUGUUCAUUAGGAUUAAUCUAUUCUAAGCACUAAAUAAUUUCGGAAAUUCAUAACUUAAUAAUCGUAGCUCCGAAUUUAGUGGUUCUUAUUUAUAGGAUCUCGUUAUGCAGCGUAGAAUAUUAUUAUAUAGUUUAUUCCUAUGUUUGGUGUAAUGUUAAUUUUGCCUAUACCAUGUUUGUCUGUAUUGCUACGUUUAGCAGUGAGGACACAUGUCAUCUGAAGAGCAAGUUGGUACCUAGAAUCUCAAGUGCUAGGCAAGUUGUGCCCUUGAUCACUUCUUUUUACCCAGUCAUGUUCUGAUUAAUCAUAAUGAUCUGCAUAGGUUAAUUUUGAUGGGACCCAACAGGUUACCCUAGUUUGAUUAUCUUUAUACCUUGACUCCACUAAACUUUUUGGGUAGUACCUGCUAUUGCUUUAUGUGGUUUUGGGUAUGAAGAUUACACUAUUCAUGAUUAUACUUUUGUUAUCAGUUGUUAUUUAUUGUUCAUGUUAAGAUCAUUAUGUUAAUUGGAACAUGGAGAACCACCCGGGAAAACAGUGCUACCACAAGGGUUUAUGGACGCCCUUGGCUGAUUAAUUAGGAAAGCUAGUGGAUGACUACCUUACCCGAAAGGGGCAAGGGCAGCAGGGGAGUGGUCAGUGUAGGGAGGCCCUUGGGAUGAUUUUGCUGCGAUGGCGGUCAUGCGAGGGAUUCCUGCAUUGGAGCUUCCUAUAAACUGUAGCGGGUUUUCUGAAGCUAGUGGAACUUUGUAAAGGCCUCGUAGUGUUACCCGGCCUCGCCUCCUCGGUAGAGGUGUAUGGGAUUGGCCGUCUCUUGGCAGAUGGGUAACAUGACUUGUGGGUAAAGAUGCGCAACCUCUGCAGAGUGUAAAACUGGUAUACGAGCCGUGCUCACGGUCAUGAGUAGCUCGGACACUCACAUGAUUAAAUUAUGGAACUUAAAUUCAAUUUGUCAUAUGCAUUGCAUCGCAGGUGAUGUUGUUACUUUUGUUCUACUACUUAAUUGGGUUGGUAUUUACUUAUACUUAGUAAUUGCUAAUAAAAUUUUGACCAACUUUAAAAGCAAUGCUCAGCUCUAACCAUCCUCUUUGGUAAGCCUUGCACUUCACGUGAGCUCCCACCUUUGGCGAGUUCAUGCACAUUAUUCCCCACAACUUGUUGAGCGAUGAACGUAUGUGAGCUCACUCUUGCUAUCUCACACCCCCCACAGGUCAAGAACAUGUACCACAGGAUGAGGCACUUGGAGGAUGCUGCGAUGUGUUCGUGAGAGGUCUAGGUCGUCAUCUCCCAGUCAACUUUGGGUUGCUGGACCGUUGUCUCCUUAUAAUGUAAUUAUUUAUUUAUUUUGUAUAGAACUCCUGUUAUGUAGUAAAGAUGUGACAUUCGAUCCUGUGCCAUGAUUCAUCAUAUGUGUGAGACUUGGUCCUAGCACACCUGGUGAUUAUGUUCGCGCCCGGGUCUUGGUGCCCCGAAACCCGGGUGUGACAACUUUGGUAUCAGAGGAAUGUUGACUGUAGGACGAAACCUAGAUAGAACUGGACAACCAUUGUCUACUUACCUUUGCUACUCUGAUUCUUUUCUAAACUCUUCUUAAUCUUUUCUCAUCUAUUUCCGCUUUACUCUGAUUAUUCUUACCUUUUCAUUACUAAAGACAAAUGUGGAUUUCACACUUUGAGAUCCGGUGCAUAUAGUGACUUUAGGAAUAGGAGACCUAAUCUUAGGAACAAAAACAAAACUAUUUUUUAAGUAUCUAUGCUCUUGAAUGCUUGUUCUUAUGAUAUUUGUCUGAUUUGGAUCUUUGAUUGAGUGUGAUGGGUUGUGGAGUAAUGUCCACAAUUGCAUCUGCAUAUACAUCUAGGCAUAAAGAAGAAUAUUUACAAAAUAACAAAUCAAUCUAGAUUAUCCUUCAUUAAAGAUCUAUCUUAUCUUAACAGAUCCAUCUUAUCUUAAAAGAUACUAUAUUAUCUUAGUGGACUCAUCUUAUCUUGAAAAGAUUUAUCUUAUCCUAAUAGAUCUAACUGACCUCAAAAGAUUCUACCUUAUCCUUAUGGAUUCAUCUUACCCCAAUAAGCAUAUUUAUCCCGCACUAGUGUAACCACCAUGAUCUAAUCCAAAGUAAUUAGAUCUUAUCUAGUCCAAACUAGUUAUACCAAUCUGAUCUAGAUCCCAUCUAAUCUAACAUGAUAUAAUCCAAAUUGAGUUACUUAAAUAAGUUACAUAAUGUUGGCGACAUAAAUUAGGCCCUAAUUCUAUAAACAUAUCUUACCCUAAAUUAAUACCUUGGACUAACUCGUCCGUAAGCAACAACCUAACCUACAUCAUAGGUUGCCUAAUCCAGAUAUCCCAAAAAAGGUAAAACUAUGUUUAAACCUAACUACCUCAUGUACCCUAGCUAUCCUAACUAUAUGCCCUUAGCCAUAUGUCCUCAACUCGGAUGGCAACUCCAGGAUCGAGGGCCAAAGAAGACCAACCACGUCAAGGGAGGAUAAGCACCAACUCAAGUCUUCAAAGGGCAAAACGGAAUCACCAGAUGAGUCAAGAUCCACCAUCCAUAAUGGAAUCUUUCUUUGCCCUAAUCCUUAUUACCGCAACCUUCUCUACUUCUGCCUAAUAGCUAAACAUAGUGUACCCAUGUGUUCGUAAUCAUUUCCUUAUUUAAUGACUUAAAAAAAGUAUAUAGAAAACAUUUGUGCUUAAAACCACUCGGGAAAAAAAACUCGAAACUAAACUGCAACUAAACAUUUGGCUUUCUAUAACCCUUUUCUUACAAAUCUCGAGGACGAGAUUUCUGUUAAGGGGGUAGGAUUUGUAAAGCCUAAAAUUGGUAGAAGAAAAAACAUAGAAUAAAUAAAUAAAUAUAUUUAAGAUUAAGUGACUCUUGGUAAAAGAGAAUACAUUAUUUCCCUAAAUGAGUAAGGUAAUAUUAGUUUUAGAUAACUUGAAAGUUGAUCCCAUACUUAAAAGUAAUUUCUUUCCUUAAAUGAAAUAAAAUGAGUGGGUGUCACAUUUUGAGCCUUCAAAGGGGAAAAAUAAUUAAUAUAAAUAUAUAGGUUUAUAAAAAAUAUAUAACCUACACUCAUGCUGAUAUUGUGGAUGUUACAUUUAGAAUAAAAUUUGAAACUCAUGUUUGAACUUGAACUUGAAAACUGAAAAUAAACUAGAAUGCAGAAAAUUCUCUCAUCUCAGCAAUUGGGCCGAAACUGCUUCACCCGGCCCAUUUCUACUCUCACGCGCGCAGCCUGCCUGCGCGCCGUGUGUCACCGCCGUGUGGGACCUAGUCGCGGUGGCACUUACGUGUGGGGCCUGGAUGUCAGGAACCUCUUCUCCCUCCCUUAUCCGCUUUUCUGUUGGGGCAUGCCGAAUUCCGCUGCCGCACAAACAGUCCCCCGCGAAAUAGCAGGCGAAUCCUCCGCUGUGAUCAUCUAUUGAUGGUUGGCACGCAUCCUGUUGGAGCUCUCAACGUCGUGCAUAUAUAUACGUGCCCCGCAACCUUCCCUCUCAUCACAGUUGGUUAAUCAUCGCCAUAUGCGGGGUCCUGUGAGAGCGCAUCAAAGAGGAGAGAGAAGUGAAUGUGAGGACCGCUGCUCGGUACUAUUUCUGGGCGAGCAGCGUUGUGCCUGGGGCAGCGACGUAACCAGAUGAAGUCUGUGCAGUGCCAAAUCGGGUGGGGCGUCGGGGCCCUUUUUUCCAGUCUUGCGGUCGCCGGGUCCUUGUGCUAGGAUGGCCGAGUGCAGGGCGUGUUGGGGAAAUCAUGGGAGAAGGAGAAAGUUGUUGGGGUCGUGCAAGCGCUGAUGGUGGCGUGGUGUUCCUGGAGAGUGACCAUGAUGCCUCAUCAGAUUGCGUCGCAUGUCUUCUGCGUCUAGUCGAGCAAAAAGGGAAUGGCUGGUGAGCAUGCAGUUCUUCGCCAAAGCAGACGCAUCAACACUGGACCGCUGCUCGUCGCGAGCAGCGCUGUUGGCGCCCAUGCUUUUGGUAAGACACCCAUCUCGAGUACAUGUUGGCUCUCGCACUCUUUUACGUUCACCUACGAUAGGAGAUAUGGACCCAACGACCGAGCAUGUGCUCCGGCAAUGGCGGCCACCGCGGUGGUCUCUCAUGCCACCGUAUUUGAUGUCUAUAGGAGGAAGAUGUGGCCUGGACCGUUGAUCGGUGUUUGGGUGACUAGGAUUAGUUGGGAUACCGCUUUGGCCGGGCGCGAUCUGGGACGUUAAUCUCCCAUCGGGCGGUCGGCAGACAUCACACGACUCAUUAAAUGAGUGCCGCUGGAUCGAGAUCCGAUGCUCCUGGUUGCCUACUGAUUAACAUCUAAUCUUGGCACUUGAUGCGUGAUCCAACGACCCAGAUUUGGUCAUACCCCUUCGGCUGGAGAUCUUGCAAAAGAAACCCUGUAGAACUCGAAUACUAACCCACCGUCGUGGGCGGUGUUCUCUGUGUCUGGGGAAUCUUUCAAGCUAGCCCCUAGCCUUUUAUUUAUUCAUGCGCCCAGUCCAGAAGCUUAAGAAAUUCAGAAAAACAAUUUAGGAAAUGGUUUUUGUGUAUAAAAAUACAUCCAGAACCUAUUUAAUUCAUAGAAAUUCCAUUUUUACUCCUUUUUAACCCAUUCCAGUUGCAAUAAUAUUGUAUUAAUAUUGUCUAUCAACUGGUAGCACUUUUUAGCCAUGAAACUUGAAUUAAAAUUGUUCAUUAGGAUUAAUCUAUUCUAAGCAUUAAAUAAUUUCGGCAAUUCAUAACUUAAUAAUCGUAGCUCCGAAUUUAGUGGUUCUUAUUUAUAGGAUCUCGUUAUGCAGCGUAGAAUAUUAUUAUAUAGUUUAUUCCUAUGUUUGGUGUAAUGUUAAUUUUGCCUAUACCAUGUUUGUCUGUAUUGCUACGUUUAGCAGUGAGGACACAUGUCAUCUGAAGAGCAAGUUGGUACCUGGAAUCUCAAGUGCUAGGCAAGUUGUGCCCUUGAUCACUUUUUUACCCAGUCAUGUUCUGAUUAAUCAUAAUGAUCUGCAUAGGUUAAUUUUGAUGGGACCCAACAGGUUACCCUAGUUUGAUUAUCUUUAUACCUUGACUCCACUAAACUUUUUGGGUAGUACCUGCUAUUGCUUUAUGUGGUUUUGGGGUAUGAAGAUUACACUAUUCAUGAUUAUACUUUUGUUAUUAGUUGUUAUUUAUUGUUCAUGUUAAGAUCAUUAUGUUAAUUGGAACAUGGAGAACCACCCGGGAAAACAGUGCUACCACAAGGGUUUAUGGACGCACUUGGCUGAUUAAUUAGGAAAGCUAGUGGAUGACUACCUUACCCGAAAGGGGCAAGGGCAGUAGGGGAGUGGUCAGUGUAGGGAGGCCAUUGGGAUGAUUUUGCUGUGAUGGCGGUCAUGCGAGGGAUUCCUGCAUUGGAGCUUCCUAUAAAUUGUAGCGGGUUUUUUGAAGCUAGUGGAACUUUGUAAAGGCCUCGUAGUGUUACCCUGCCUCGCCUCCUCGGUAGAGGUGUAUGGGAUUGGCCGUCUCUUGGCAGAUGGAUAACAUGACUUGUGGGUAAAGAUGCGCAACCUCUGCAGAGUGUAAAACUGGUAUACUAGCCGUGCUCACGGUCAUGAGCAGCUCGGACACUCACAUGAUUAAAUUAUGGAACUUAAAUUCAAUUUGUCAUAUGCAUUGCAUCGCAGGUGAUGUUGUUACUUUUGUUCUACUACUUAAUUGGGUUGCUAUUUACUUAUACUUAGUAAUUGCUAAUAAAAUUUUGACCAACUUUAAAAGCAAUGCUCAGCUCUAACCAUCCUCUUUGGUAAGCCUUACACUUCACGUGAGCUCCCACCUUUGGCGAGUUCAUGCACAUUAUUCCCCACAACUUGUUGAGCGAUGAACGUAUGUGAGCUCACUCUUGCUGUCUCACACCCCCCACAGGUCAAGAACAUGUACCACAGGAUGAGGCGCUUGGAGGAUGCUGCGAUGUGUUCGUGAGAGGUCUAGGUCGUCGUCUCCCAGUCAACUUUGGGUUGCUGGACCGUUGUCUCUUUAUAAUGUAAUUAUUUAUUUAUUUUGUAUAGAACUCCUGUUAUGUAGUAAAGAUGUGACAUUCGAUCCUGUGCCAUGAUUC
rnacentral:lncRNA from 1 species